AGUCUCUAGACAGCAAACAGGAGUAGGAACCUUCAGCUCAACCCCAGAAGCACUGAGGCUCCCCCAACAUUUAUCCCCCAACAGAUCAACUUGAAGAUCCUUGUUUUUGCCUUCAAGUGCCUCUAUGGCCUUGCAUCACCCUAUUUGUGCACUCUCCUGUGACCCUAUUCCGCCUGACCCAGCCACUCUUCAUACAGCCAACUCCAGUCGGCUUCUUGCUCCCCAGUGGGCUGGCCUUCAGUCACAUUCUCCCCCUCACUCCUCUGGAAUUCUCUCCUGAAUCCCAAUUCCUAACCAUUUCUUUCAAAUCCCACCCUCACGGAUCAGCAUCGACAGGGACUCAAGCCUGCAACCUGUCUGCCUGUAUAAUUUGAGUGCUGCAUCGGACAGUUCAGUUAUCGUUUAAAUCUUUGGGGCCCUCACAGACACAUGUGGAUACCCAUCACCAUGCUUAAGAGUAUGCAAACCAGUCUGAAAUAUCCCUGUGUCUUGAAUGGAACGUACCCUGUCUCCCUGGAUGGACACACCCCGCUUACCUAAUUCCGGAGAGCUUCAUG